ACGAACGCUGGCGGCGUGCUUCACACAUGCAAGUCGAACGGAAAGGCCCUGCUUUUGUGGGGUGCUCGAGUGGCGAACGGGUGAGUAACACGUGAGUAACCUGCCCUUGACUUUGGGAUAACUUCAGGAAACUGGGGCUAAUACCGGAUAGGAGCUCCUGCUGCAUGGUGGGGGUUGGAAAGUUUCGGCGGUUGGGGAUGGACUCGCGGCUUAUCAGCUUGUUGGUGGGGUAGUGGCUUACCAAGGCUUUGACGGGUAGCCGGCCUGAGAGGGUGACCGGCCACAUUGGGACUGAGAGACGGCCCAGACUCCUACGGGAGGCAGCAGGGGGGAAUAUUGCACAAUGGGCGGAAGCCGGAUGCAGCAACGCCGCGUGCGGGAUGACGGCCUUCGGGUUGUAAACCGCUUUCGCCUGUGACGAAGCGUGAGUGACGGUAAUGGGUAAAGAAGCACCGGCUAACUACGUG
rnacentral:rRNA from 1 species